rnacentral:rRNA from 1 species
GAUGAACGCUGGCGGCGUGCCUAAUACAUGCAAGUCGAGCGAAGCGGGGACGGGUGAGUAACACGUGGAUAACCUCCUAUAAGACUGGGAUAACUUCGGGAAACCGGAGCUAAACCGCAUACUUAUAGAUGGAUCCGCUCUGCAUUAGCUAGUUGGUAAGGUAACGGCUUACCAAGGCAACGAUGCAUAGCCGACCUGAGAGGUUGAUCGGCCACACUGGAACUGAGACACGGUCCAGACUCCUACGGUAGGCAGCAGGAGGGAAGCUUCCGAAAGGGGCGAAAGCCUGACGGGGCAACGCCGCGUGAGUGAGGAAGGUCUUCGGAUCGUAAAACUCUGUUAUUAGGGAAGCGGUAACUAAUCAGAAAGCCACGGCUAACUACGUGCCAGCAGCCGCGGUAAUUC